rnacentral:rRNA from 1 species
UACGGAGGGGGCUAGCGUUGUUCGGAAUUACUGGGCGUAAAGAGCACGUAGGCGGACUGGAAAGUCAGGGGUGAAAUCCCGGGGCUCAACCCCGGAACUGCCUUUGAAACUCCCAGUCUUGAGGUCGAGAGAGGUGAGUGGAAUUCCCAGUGUAGAGGUGAAAUUCGUAGAUAUUCGGAGGAACACCAGUGGCGAAGGCGGCUCACUGGCUCGAUACUGACGCUGAGGUGCGAAAGCGUGGUGAGCAAACAGG